GCCUUGGUGGUGUAAUGGUCAGCCCACUCGGCGCGUAUUCGAGAGGUCCGAGGUUCGAGUCCCGGCGAGGGCA
rfam:Stegodyphus mimosarum contig16317, whole genome shotgun sequence.